UAGAAAAUCUCAUUGCAGUGCCAGAAAAUGGUGGUCCCCCCUCGUUUAUCUGAAAAUCUCAUAAAUUGGAUUCUGGUGCCAAAAUAAAUGAAUACUGUUUAAUACUAACACUGGAUUUGAAUCUUCUUUUCUUCAGUGAAGUUUGAAAAUAAAUACUUUCUUUAAAAAAAUGAUAACCAUGGACCUCCUGAUCAACAUCUUGCUUGGACCAUCACCUUCCUUUAGUGGAGGACGUCACUAUGGAUCGGGAUCCCCCUCCACCCACUGCUGGUCUUUUCCUAAAGUGUCUAGCCUCCCCUGACAAUGGAUGCUUUUCUUUUAAAAUUCCUAUUUGGAAAAAGAAGCACACAACUAUAAGUAAUGUUUGGCCUGCAGCAGAAGUCAUCAAUCAUUGACUUUAAAAAGAAUUGGCAUUUCAGAAAUAGGUCAAACAGGGAGCAUAAUCGUGGGAACGUCUGCUGCACAAGUUCUACUGAAA